UUUUUUUUUUUUUUUUUUUUUUUUUUUUUUUUUUUUUUUUUUUUUCA
rnacentral:ribozyme from 13 species